rnacentral:lncRNA from 1 species
AAGCAAUAGAAUAUAGAUUUAAAGGAAUAGACGCAUAGAGGGAGUGUAUGCCCAGAGAAAAUUUCUAAAAAGGGGCACAAGAAAUGAUCAUUAUCUCUGAGGACUGCAGAGUUGGGAUGUCAGGAGUUUUUCAUCUUUUUCACAGCACCUCUUUCUUUUUACCAUUUGAAUUAUUUUUACCAUACAUGUGUAGUGCUGUAACAGUAAAAAGUUGUUUUUAAAGACCAGCUAUCUCAUUCAAAAAAUGAAUUCAAAGUAAAGGCCUAUGGAAAAGCAUUUCUGAUAUUAAUAACUUGAUUACACAAUCAGAAUCUUCUUCCAAGACUUCCAGCCUCCCUUUUGCAGAUGGAUCUCGGAAUUCAGGUUUCCUUCAUUAACAUCCCAGGUUGUCUCCAUGCUUUGAGGGUUUCAGUUCCAAAUUGGGUCUCUGAGAGGGAGAGGAAGCCAGAGAGACAUUCUGAGGACAAGAGAGAAAGAAGAGUCAUAAUCCUCUUAGAUAACUGGAGGUUAGUGGAGGAAAGAAUGUGAGAAGUGUUCCAGGCCCUGGUGAUAUCUAGCCCAGCCUCCCUUGCAGACAUUUGCUAUUCCAGCCAGAUCUUUCGUUCAUAUAAACCAGACACCAGGCCGGGUGCGGUGGCUCAUGCCUGUAAUCCCAGCACUUUGGGAGGCCGGGAUGGGUGUCCAGGGAUCAUGAGGUCAGGAGAUCGAGACAAUCCUGGCCAACAUGGUGAAACCCCAACUCUACCAAAACACAAAAAAUUAUCUGGGCAUGGUGGCGUGUACCUGCAGUCUUAGCUACUCAGGAGGCUGAGGCAGGGGAAUCACUUAAACCUGGGAGGUGGAGGUUACAGUGAGCCAAGAUGGUGCCACUGCACUCCAGCCUGGCAACAGAGCAAGACUCCAUCUCAAAAAAAAAAAAAAAAAAAAAAAAAAAAAAAAACAAAAAAAAAACACCAGACACCAGUUUUGCAAGUCUAGGAGGUAGGACACAGCUGUAAACUGUAACACCUGUUGGAAGGCCAGGAGCUGUGAGAGGGUUUCUAGAUUCUACAGUGGAAUUUAGUCAUCCCAGGUGAAUCUUCAUCUCUUGGGGCAAUGGUUGGAAACCCAUGUGUAAAACACAGGCAAAAAGGAGAAGGGGCUCAAUCAAGACAUUCCAGAGAAAUUAUCCAUCAACAGCAGAAAGCUCAGUAGAUGGGCAGAAGAGGGGCACUUCACUACAUGGAUUGGGGGCCAAACUUGUCAAAUCCUUCAGAGAAAGUGUGGCUGAGGUGGAGAAUGAGGUGGGGGAAUCAAAAGCGGGAUUUGAGAGCUGGAGCUUGGGCACCAGCCCUUUCAUCCCCAUGUAAAUUAAUGAAUGCAUGAUAGUCUCUUAAGAUUUUGCUUCUCACAGUGUGAUCCCAGAGGUGUCUAAAAGAACAGACAACUGGCCGGGUGCGGUGGCUCACACCUGUAAUCCCAGCACUUUCGAAGGCUGAGAUGGGUGGAUCGGGAAGUCAAGAGAUCAAGACCAUCCUGACCAACAUGGUGAAAUCCUGUCUCUACUAAAAAUACAAAACUUAGCUGGGUGUGGUGGUGCGCGCCUGUGUUCCCAGCUACUUAGGAGGCUGAGGCAGGAGAAUCACUUGAACCCGGGAGGCGGAGGUUGCAGUGAGCUGAGAUCGCACCACUGUACUCCAGCUUGGCUACAGAGCUAGACUCCCUCUCAAAAAAAAAAAAAAAAAAAGAAGAAGAAGAAGAAGAAGAAGAAGAAGAAGAAGAACAGAGAACCACAAGAAUCAAGGACUCCUGGACCUGGGAAAGGCCCUUGCUUCAUGAAGGAGCCCAGGGCCGGUGCUGAGGUUCCCAGCCAAAGGGAAUGCAAACUCAUUCUGUAACUCAUUUUCUUUCCUGCUGGGACUAUUUCUGAUCACAGGCUAUGCGUGCGAGUACCAUUCAUGUUUCUUGAAGCUAUUUGGAGUAUUUUGGAGGCUAUAUCCAAAGGCCAUUUCUGGAGUUCUUAGCUAAAUGAUUAAAAUAAACAACAACAACAAACCUAAAAUCAACAACAUGACCUCUGCCAAUUUUCCUAUCACCCGUUGGAAUCUCUGGUCAAGAAACUGCAAAUAUUAAUAUUUCACUGGGAUGUUUGGUGGGAAGUAGGGAGGGAAAUGUCCAUACCAAAAGCUUCCAAGUGAAAUGUUCUGGCUGACACCUCCAAGAGAAAGUGAAAGCUAGAAUGGCAGAAGCCAUUGGUGGAGAAGGAACAUGCAGGCAGGAGAAGUCCCUGGAACCUGGAUGGAAAGAAAGUCGGAAUAGACUUCUUCAUGGGCUGCAGAAAGAAAAAGUCUUGGCUGUGAUGAGAGGACUGUUUCCAGCAGGCAAAUUUCAGCAGCUUAAUCUCAGUCACAAAGGAGAUCUUAUCCAUGAGACAGGAGCUCAGGUGCCACAGAGAAAUCUGUCUGGGGAGUCUGCAGGCGGCCACAUGUGCCAGUGAUGAAGACAGAUUCCACUGGAGCCACUGAGCACCAUCUUAGCACCCUGCAGGGCCAAGAAGCCACACCAGCCCCAGGGAAGAGAUAAUUUGCAAGGCAGCUAAUGGCACGCACCAUUCUCCUCACUUCCUUCCCAGCCUUUUUAUCUUCUCCAAUGUGCUGGAAAAAGAGAUUUUGAUGGAAACUAGAAUACCCAUGAAGAGUAAGGUUGAGGUCAUGGAAGAUGAAGAUUAAGAGUGAAGAAAAAGAGCAAGUGGAGGAACAAACACAAAAUUAAAUAAAUCACAGAAAUGCUUGACACUUCAGGUUGAAGAUGCUCUCAGUGUAUCAGGUUGUGUUUUGUUUUGUCUUUUUACCUUAGAAAAUGAGAAGACACACCUAUAUUUAUCCCAGUGAAAUUUCAGAUUUUCAAAGAUAAAGGAAAAUUCCCAAAGGACAUAGACAGUAAAACCAGGUUAACUAUAGGAUUUGUCUCCAGGCUUCUCUGCAAUAUAAUCAUGCCAAAGAUCAUGGAAUAAGAUCCACAGAGUUUAGAGGGGAAAGGAUGUGGCUCAUGACUUGUAAACCAGGACAAUUUAUCAUCAUAGCAUCAGAAAAUGACAAACGUAGUUUGAGAUAGGCAAGUAUUCCAAGAGCAAAUUAUCCAUGUUACAGUAAAAAUAUCCAGGAAGAAAGUGAAAGAGGUAAACAAUAGUGAUACCAAUGAAACAAAGUAUCCCAGUGAAUAAUUGCUGUUUCUGUGGUUA